UCAUACAAAUCAAAAAGAGUUCUUAUGGUUUCCGAAGCGGUGAAUCCCUGAAUCUUUAUAUAUCGUGCUUCAUAGACACCACUUAGUUUCCUACUCGAAAAUCUGUAAACUAGGGUUCUUAAAUCAAUCAAAAUAUCAAAGUCAGGCAUUAAUAAUAACAGGGUUUAAUUUCAUAUUUUGGAUUAAGAUUCUUCUUUGGUUUGGAUUAAGAUUCUUCUCUGGUUUCUUUAAUGGGAAGAGAAAGGAGCGUCGUCUCGCGGCCUUAAACGCAACUGAUCGAAGAGUAAAGCUAGAUCUCUUUGCGGAACCCUCUGGAGAUUUGGGAGCCUCCUCUGGAAAUGACGAAGUUGAUGAUGGUGUUGACAAGAGUGCUGGAGAUACAAAUCUAACAUCUUCUUCAGGUGGGUUCCCUCAUUUUUUGCAUGAAAGGACUAUGUAGAGACGACAUGCCUGAACAACAUUAUUUUGGUGGAAAUAUUGUACAAGAAAAUGUUUUGUUCCCCGAGAAUUUGGUUUUUCAUAAUGUAGGAUGGCUGAGGUCUUGGGAACAUUCAAUGCUCAGAUCAAGUUGGGCUGGACCACAGUGAAAUAUAUUGAAUGACUCCCAACCUGUUAAGCCGUUUCUACAGCAUCUAAGCGUUCUGGAGGUCUCAGCAGGAUAAAUUUUUCUUUCUCGGUUCGUAUGUCUUUGUCUUUAUUUGAUUUGUGCUUCUAACCGUUUCUCUUUAUUGUGUUCAGGUGGUCAAGUUCAAAGGGAUGCUAAGAUUUCUAUAUUUAGAAUGCAAUUAUAGAUUCACUCAGCCACUAAUUUGUUAUUAAAAUUGAUUAUGGCGACGUAUAUAUUGCCUGUUAUUGUCACAUCUGUUUGUGCAAACAUCAGGACAAUCCUUUGCUGUUAUUUGGGCAAUAUAGUGACGAUGAAUUAAAUGAUGAGGAGAAUAAGAGGCCCAAGCAUGACGUUUCAGAGAGUUCUUCUAUCGAACAAAAGUCCCAGGUAUUUUUAUCCAAUAAACAUUUUUGGAAAAAUCGGCUCAAAAAGUUGUCGAAAAGCGCACCCGGGGACACUUGCUAUUCGGACUCUCACUAUGGAUAAGGGGUACCCCAAAUUACUAAGGGGCACCCUCAGGACACUCUCAAGGAAGCUUCUAUUCGCACCCCUGCUCUGGAUAGGGGUCACCUCUUCUUCACAAUUCAAAUGAAGCUUUUUGGCGGGAAGCUGUUGCAGCAACGAAGCUGGAGAUCGAAUUUUGAGCGAUUUAUAAGGAUAUUCAAUGGCUUAUUUUCGUUGGACUGGACCUGUGAUAGCAUAACAGGGUCACUGUGAUUGAUUGGACCCAACCAAUUGGGCUAGAUAGGCCGGGAGAAGCAAACAGAGGAGGUGAAGUUUAUCGGAGUUGUUAUCGUCUUUUGGGUGAGAUUAUGUCGGAGUUUGACGUGGAGAUGGAUUGGGAUUAUCUUGAUUCAACGAAACAGGGUUGGUAAUCCCUUUAGAUUCGAAAAUAGAGGAGGAAAUCAUCGAGUUGGCUGGCUAAAACAGGAAGUUCCGUGUAUUCUCGGAUAUUUUGGUUUAUGUAUGGAAGUACCAGAGGAUUUUACGUUAUGAAUUGAGUCCUUGUUCAGUCUACAGGGAGUACUUGAGAGUUUGGAGAACCAAGUUGACGCGUAGAUAAGCUUGGAAGGGAAAGAAAUCCCGAGACUUGAGGUGGAGAAAAAGAUAAGAAUAACCGAGGAUUUCUUGAGAUUCAAUCGAGUUGUUGGCUAUAAAAAGGUUGCUUCAAGUCACAGAGAGGGGCAAACGACUUUAGAGGAGGUUUAGAAGAGAACAGAGACCUAAAAUCACGAAUUGGAGUUUUAUUUCUGCUGGUGCUGCUGAAGAACACGAAGAACAUCAACCCACGCCCAACUGUCGCAGAACACUGUCGUUGUUCUACAACACUUCGCUUCUAUCGUUACUGUAGAAGUCUUAUUCCUUUUGUUUCUCUUGUAACAGUCGAUCUGCAACACAUAUAAACGUUGCGAUUGAACUGUUUUACUCCCUUUGAGUCUCUUCACUUUUGAAAACACCUUUUGAGCAAUGAAAAAAUAUU